ACAAAUUUUUGAAUUUAUAUAUAAUCCCAACAACAUAAACAAAAUUAUCAAUAAUUUCAUGCUUGCUUAUUAUAAAGGCAUACAAAAAGUGUAUAACAUCCCACUGAUAGUUCAUGUAAAUCAUAAAUAAUUUAUACAGUCACUUGGCAAAAAAUGAUAUGAUUUCCCUAAAUGACUUCCUAGUAAAACAAAAUCAAUUUUUCAUCUUGUAUCAAGUCUUCAAAACUUGCAGCUUGACUUUGUAACUUCUAAUCUUCAAGUCCUGCAAAAAGUAUAAGAAGGGUGCCUUUAAGAAAGUAUCAAAUACUAAUAAAUAUCAAAUAGCAUCUGAGGAAAACAAAAAUAAUUGCACACAUAAAGUUUGAAGAUGAUAACACACAUAAAGUUUGAAGAUGAUAACAUUACUGGAGAGAACCUAAAUAUUGUACAUGUUGUCUCUCUCUUUCAAUAACAUAUAAUUCUCCUGUAUAGUUUGUUCCAUCACAUUUUUCAAAUGCAGACUCAUAUUAAAUAAGCAAUUUUUUUAAAUACAGAUUCAUUAUGUUUGUCCUAAAUGUCCUAAUAAAACAUAACCAAUUUCUCUUUAUAGAGUUUCAACAACUACGCCUUCCAUUUGCACUAAUGGAAAAAAGAUAAGAUCCAAAUGAAAACAUAUAAUAACUUAGAAUGAAAAGAACAAGUUAGCAUAGAUCUUCACUUAAACAAAAACCCCUUACAAGCCAUAUUUCUAUCUGAAAAACUUCAAAAUUCUAGGCCAUAUUUAUAUCUAAAUUAGCAAACUUGCAUCCAAGACAUACAAAGUUAACUUUGUAAAUAAAUUUAACAAUGCUCUUAAUACUCAUAUUCCAACAAUCCUCUUGAGGUGCAGUUGUAUUGAUACAAUUGAUUAAUUUUUACACAAAAUUACCUCAUAAGAAAGAGUAUGCACAGCAGUAUAAAUGUUCAUUGGCUAAACUAAUUUUUAACUUCAUUGCAGCAAAAUGAAUGUCUAUCUUAGAUUGUAAGUUUUUCUUUUAAACUAUAAGCACAAUCACCCUCACAUUUGAUCAAUGAAGACAACUAAACAACACCACAUGUCCAAGUAUAAUCAAGUGUGAACAUCCACAGGUUGAUUACAUAAAAAAUCCUAUUUGAAAGAGAAAAAUAACCAAUGAAUGUAGAGGUGUUUGUCCAAUAUCAAUGAAAUGAACAAAUAUUUUAGAGUUCUCAGAAAUAAUAGCCACUCUUACUUCAAGAACAUCACUGUUUAAUUUCCCAUAGGAUUCUUCAGAAACCUUUGGCCAAAAUUUAGUCCAUCUGGUCCGCGGGUGUUUGUACAUACACUCUACAUGUGCUUCACUAAUUUCUCCCUCUCUAAAAGGAAAGAACAUAAAAGGUAUAAACACUUAAAAAAGAAUCAAUAAGACUACGAGAUCUUGAUGUUUGUGAUUCAAUGAAAGCUGUAAAUUUCAACUAACUAAUCUUAUUAGUUAACCUAGAAUAUAGGAACAAACACAAAUCAUGUACUAUUAUAAGGGUUAUUAAACCUUAAGAAGAUGUAAUAAAGUUUAGCAAUCAUAUUAGUAGGGCUUCAACUGGCUUAAGAAUUUAAAAUGAAGUUUUAUCAUUGAAGAAGAUAAGACGCAAUAGAAUAUGAAAAGUGAUUAUGGGCAUCGUUUUCUCUUGAUAAACAAUAACUUUUCAUUCAUAUUAUGUCAAUAUUACAAGAAUCUCAAUAGGAAAAAAACUUUAGUAACGAUUAGUACACCUUAAUCAUCCAGCAUAGAAAUUAGUCAGCCAGAAGAUAUAGCAAAUACAACUAUCCCUUCACAAAUAAAAAGAGAAGUCAAAAUAUCAUCUCAAAGAUGAAAAAAUAGAGAAACUGUGACAACACAAUCAAUGAGGAUAUAUAAGCAACGACUUAAACACAGUAAAAUCUUACAACUUUUAUCCUGUUAAUAAUCAAUUUGUAUAUACGAGUUGUCAUAAUUACACAAUAUGUCCGUUGGCAUCACAUUUCUUUUUAAUACAUUUGGAUAGGAAAACUCGCUACAACUGUCAUUGUAGGAUGUAUCAUGACACAUAUAGUUGAUAGUUAAUCUGAGACAAAGUUGUCUCUGCGAAUAGUUGUUUUUGAAAAAAACAAAUCAGCUGCCACCAAUGAUAUUUAUGUACUCCUAAUGAAAGUAUAACCUACCAAAUUUGGUAGAUAUUUUGUGCUGCGAAAAUAGUAAAACAAACAAAGAAUAAUCUUGAAAGAGGCUUACCUAAUCAGAAGCAUUAUCAAGAGACGCUCUGCCAAAGCCAUGAACAUAACAAAAUAAUAAUAUUAAGUCAACACUCCGAUAAUAGAAUUUGCACUAUAUGUUAUCCUCUUACAAUAAAAGAUUAUAAAUAUGAAAAAGUUAACCAGCAACUGCACACACCCCAAAUACCCUUUAUCAAAGUUGUGUUUGAGUGAAGGAACAUGGAAUGAAUGUGCAAAAACUGAAGCAUUUUGUAAUGCCACAAAUAGGAUGAAAACAACCUUAGAUACAAAACACAUACUUUAAUUAUAGCUAAAUAAUGAAUAUAUAAGGCUAUUUUUAGAAUUCUAUUCUAGUUAGAGCUUUCAAUACAAAAAAUAUGGUGCAUUUCAUCUCUCUCGACCAUUUCCGGUGAGAGGGAGGAUAUAAUUCAGCUCAAACAAAGUGAGAAGACUAAAAAAGACGCUCGGACUAUAGGAAGAGGGAGGAAAGUGUAAGGAAAAUAAUUGAUUAUUUCCUAAAGAGAUUAAUUUGUACAAGCUUGAUAAUUUUUCUCCUUUUUUUAUUUUAUGAAAUACAAAGAAACGACUAUGUAUACAACAUUCAAAUGUCCUAUAGUAACAUUAAAUUCAAUUAAAUAGAGGGUCACUUUAUUUGAAAAGUGUCAAAAUCAAUUAUAUCAAGUCCUUAUUUGUGAAAUAAUCCACAAUCUAGCAAUGAACAGAAGGAAAUUUUCUUAAACAACCUCAUAGUACUGCAAAAUCCAAAGCUUUGAACACUAUGAAAGUACAAAUAUUAUUAUGAAUCAAAAGAUAAGUUAACUUUUGUCUAGACUAAAAACUCUAUUCAUAGCUUCAAAGCUUUUCAUUUUGAGAGAAUAUGUUCUAAAUCUCAAGGAAAACAUCAACAUGUUAGAAAAAUACAUAGGAACUUCAGAUUUUUUAAAAGUUUAAUUUAUUGGAGGUCUGUUAGUUUUGGUUGCUCCAUCAUCUCUUUACAUGAAAAUAUCCCUAAUGCCUCCUAGUUUUUAUUCAAUUUCUACAUAAUCAACAACUCAGAGAUUUAAGGAACCCACUUCGAAAUCUGAAUUUAUGGCAAAAUAAAAGUAUAUUUGUUAAAAGAGAAGUUACGUAGGAACUCUGAUAGCAUCAGCGGAAGUAGUACAUCGACCACCGACCACCUUGACAAAGAAUUUUUGCAGCUGAAGCAAUAUACCGACCAAAAUCAUCCUAGAAUCGCAAAUUGAUUUUGGAGAUAACUAUGAUGUAUAAGAUAUGGGAUUAGGGCUUUUUAGAAGAUUAAUUAUUUACAAAUAUGUACAACUUUAUCCCUAUUUUGGUGGUCUUAAUUUGCUAGGUAACCUAGAGAAUUCAUUAUAGAGAUUUAAUGAGGGCUUAGUUCUUUUGAGAGAUAGUGGAAAAAUGGAGAACCGUACCCGGUUAAAUAUAUAUUUUUUAUUUUAGGUGUU
rnacentral:lncRNA from 1 species